GAGGUAUUGUUUUUUCUGAUUACAUAAAUAAUGCAUACUGAUUUUAAAAUAAGAAAGAGAACAGAAGAUUAAAGAAGGAAAUAAACAUUGUUCAACAUCCUUGCCACUGAAUGCAAACCACUGUUUCUAUUUAGAUGACACUUUUCAGCCAUUGAAGCUUCUCACUCCCUAUUUCCUCUUCACACAGGCUAUUUUUCCUACAUUUCCUUCCCACCCUUUUUAAUAAUUCAUGCUAGGGGAGGAGUGUCUGGAGGGCAUUGGGUGAGGGUGAAAGUGAAGUAAGACUGGUGUGCUUUGGCAAUGGGGAGCUGGAGGAUGGAUGGACAGAACAUGAGAGUUUGUUACAUAUUCUCCACUUUUAAACAUGCUCGAAAAUUUCUUUAACACAAAAAUUUAAAAGUAUUCUGUAGUUAACAUUCUUAACAUAUGCAUACUAAAUUACAAUAAACAAAACAUUAAAAUAUCACCAAAAAAAGGCAAAUUAUACUUAUUUUUAUUUUAUUUAUUAAAUAAAACAGAAAACCACUGAUGAGGCGGAAGCCCUUUCAGGAUCUUACUGGAGUUAACACGCAUGCCCUGCCUUCUGGGUGCAGGCUUCUGAGUCUUCAGAGUACAGAGGGAGCAGUCUGCUCAUUCUCUUCUCCUUCCUUUCCCUCUGCAUUUCUCCAUCUUCUGGUAUUGGGACAGGGAGGAGAGUAGGGAAAAAGGUGUCGCCUCCCCUCUUGGGUGCUUCUGCUUCCGAGUGUGCUUGCGUCUCUGUGCGCCCUGAGAGGUGUGUGCUGCGUUCCUGGUGGCAGGUACCGAAGGCGGCGCCGGGGCACGAGUAUCGGUUGCUUAACCCCACAGUACCCCAGGACCCAUGUGCAUGUAGGCUCAGGCUUCCAGUGCCAUCCCGCCCUCCGCCCCCUCUCUCUUUUCUCUCCUUCCCGGCUUCAAACAGGAACCACGGGCGGAGCAGCACAAUAAAUAAAAUUAAAUAAAUCAAACAAAUUAAAUAAAUAAAAUUAAACAAAUUAAAUUAAAGAAGCACAGUGGAGGAUGAGCCUGCCUAGAUCGAGGUACCCAUCCGCUUUCCCUCCUUACAACGCUGUUAUUGGUUUGUUUUGAUUACUGUUUUGUUUUGUGGUGGGGAGCCAUCCUGAACCUCUUCCUGAGAAGUGGGAAAGUUGCACCGCCCUCCACAAGGCUGACUCUGAGUUAGGACUGGGAGGGAGCAUUCCCAUUUCUUAUGGGUUUACCAUUUAUUUGGCCCCCCGGGUGCCCUGAGGUGGGAGUACUACCUCUGGAGAGCCAGGGCCGCAUGAGCGCCUCUAUUCCUCACUGGAUCUCAGGGACUGGGAGACUCUUUCCCACGGCUUUUGUACCUGGUUGCCAAUUCUGCCUCCACAGGAAGUUGUCGCUCAGCCUCUUCUUCCACUGGCCCUGAGCGUACUUGGCAAAGUCCAAUUGCCCGGAGACAAUGUUCCUACUGGUGUGAGCAAUAGAAGUGCUUUCUGCAAACUUCCUGUGUCAUCGCAGAGAAUACUGAAAAGACUGACUCUCCAGGGGUCUCAUCAUGUCGCACAGGCUGGUCUUGAACUCCUGGACUCAAGCGAUCCUCCCUCCUUGGCCUUGCAAAAUGCUAGGACUACAGACAAGGCCGUUAAGGUUUUACAACUCGCUGGUAAGCCAAGAUGUCUGUCUUCCCUUGUUCUUAUGUGAUGUUUCCUGCAAUGACCAAGCCAAACACAGUCCUCCAGCUUUGUCAUAAACACAUGCAAUGACUUGGAAAAAUCAGGCGCAUUCUCCUGUCAGGAUUGCUCCUAAUUAUUUUUGGUUUGGAACAUGGAAAAAUGUUUUUGGUGGAAAUUUGAGAGGAAAAAGUCACACAAAUAGGUUUUUAAACAACCUGAAAACUUCAUGUCUCUCUAUCAGAAAUCAGGCAGAUGAAUGUGAGUUAAAUCAAGAUAAAUUUUGAAUUUGUAAGCUUAAUUUUUCAAUAAUUUAUUCUAGAGAUUAUUAAGAAAAAAGGCUUCAUUAAUGUUUUUAUUUUUACUUUCCUCCCUUGAGUUCUGAAAUUCCUUGCAUUCUCAAUAGCUGGAAAUAGUAAUUUUCACCACUGUCAUCAUAAUUAAACAUAAUGUGAUAAUGGUUAAGAUUAUGAAUCACUGUCUUAAUGAAUGGUUAUUAUAUUGCUCAUUAUUAUGGCGGUUGCUAUGAUUAUUAUUUUGGGAUUAUAGACCAUCCAGAAAUGGCAAGUUCUUUCCUAAGAUAAUUACUAUAAAUAAUGACAAGGAUGCCAAUAAUAAUAUAACAACAGAUUUCUUACUUUUUGGGCACAUAAAAUUAACUUAGAGGUGAGACUCCCUAAAAGCUCACCCAGUAUUUUUUGCAUAGAGGGCAAGGUAGGAAAUGAUGAGUAAGAGUGUGAUGUUUCUCACUACCUAAAACUUCUGUAUACCAAAAGAGUAGAAAGUUUUAUAAAUGUAACUGAAUUUAUCAAAUGUCUACUUAUGAACUAUUCUCUGUGAUAAGUGAUGUGGGUCAGAACUGUUAGAUUUUUAAUUUCUGGUAUUAUAGUGAUAUGAGUAAAAUACAAAAACAAAUAAACAAAUAAAAACGACCAACCAAAACCUGAAAAAGA
rnacentral:lncRNA from 10 species